rnacentral:rRNA from 1 species
UAGGGAAUUUUCGUCAAUGGGGGAGCCCUGAACGAGCAAUGCCGCGUGUGUGAAGAGGGUCUUCGGAUCGUAAAGCACUGUUGUAAGUGAAGAAUGCCAUAUAGAGGAAAUGCUAUGUGGGUGACGGUAGCUUACCAGAAAGCCACGGCUAACUACGUGCCAGCAGCCGCGGUAAUACGUAGGUGGCAAGCGUUAUCCGGAAUCAUUGGGCGUAAAGGGUGCGUAGGUGGCACGAUAAGUCUGAAGUAAAAGGCAACAGCUCAACUGUUGUAUGCUUUGGAAACUGUCGAGCUAGAGUGCAGAAGAGGGCGAUGGAAUUCCAUGUGUAGCGGUAAAAUGCGUAGAUAUAUGGAGGAACACCAGUGGCGAAGGCGGUCGCCUGGUCUGUAACUGACACUGAUGCACGAAAGCGUGGGGAGCAAAUAGGGAUUAGAUACC